GGCGAGAUAGUAUAGUGGCUAGUACUGCUGGUUCUGAUUAUUCAAGCACUUCCAGCCGACCUGGGUUCGAUCCCCAGUCACGCCU
rnacentral:tRNA from 2 species